AGUACAUCGAGUACAUGGUGCACCAUGCACAACUGCAGUACCUUACGUCGGUUACUACAUUUCACGCGUUCCUGCCGUACCAUGCGGGUACGCAGCAAUACGUGCGCCAUUUGUCGUCAUUCCGUCAGUCUCUCUUUACCUUCGUUCCAGUGAAUACAUCUGGUGUGACGCAAAGAACGCGUGAGGCAUGAAGCGGACUGCACGUUUUCUCACAUAACAUAGCAGCCCAAAAAUUACCUUAUCGGUUGCUUUGGAGGUGCCACCGUGCUUGCCGUUCAUAUCGAAAGGUGGCCUUGGAGUGUGACACGUGACACACAGGUGAUUGGGUUAUUUCCAUGUGCUAGAUGAAAUCUUCUACUAUGACUAUUCAAACCAUUUGCAGCACGAAUAACGCCUACUUAAUUACCUUGCAAUGACACACCCCACCAUGACCGUUGGGAAGACUGUCCAUUGCCUGUCGCUGGUGCACGAGGCUACGUCUUCACCUGUUGGUACUCGCUAAUUGUGUUGCAGCUUGUCUUUUGGCUCAUCAGCACUAAGAAUAAAAGCUAUGUUUUAAAAUCAAUAA